GUCUUCGUAGCUCAGCUGGUUAGAGCGUCCGACUGUUAAUCGGGAGGUCGACAGUUCAAUCCUGUCCGAGGACG
rnacentral:tRNA from 1 species